rnacentral:rRNA from 1 species
UACGUAGGGCGCAAGCGUUGUCCGGAAUUAUUGGGCGUAAAGAGCUCGUAGGUGGUUUGUUACGUCUGCUGUGAAAACCUAGGGCUUAACCCUGGGCCUGCAGUGGAUACGGGCAGACUAGAGGUAGGUAGGGGAGAAUGGAAUUCUCGGUGUAGCGGUGAAAUGCGCAGAUAUCGGGAGGAACACCGGUGGCGAAGGCGGUUCUCUGGGCCUUACCUGACACUGAGGAGCGAAAGCGUGGGGAGCGAACAGG